CCCACGGCUUCCGAAAACGGGAUACCUUUAACUAUUUUAAAUUAUAUUUCAUACUGUUAGAAGUGAUUUGUGCGAUUAAUAAAAAAUUAAGGAGUCUGGCACGUGUGUCUAGAUCUACAUGGAAAAACUUGUUUUAUCUUUAUAUUUGUUUUAAAAUUAUAUAUAUUUUUUAUUUAUGUCUAAAUUAUUUAAAUUUGUGUGAAUUCAUAUAAUGCUAUUCUCUGGUAAAUGCGUAUAUAUUAAUGAUGGAUGCCCGAAUGAUGUGACUAGCACGCGGAGAUGUUCUUACAGCAAGUUAGGGAUCUAAUAAUAUGGUAAACCUCACAAUUUUAUUGUUUUUUACGAUACGCGCGUAUGUUGUCAAAAAAAAAAAUAUAUAUUAUUAAUAAAAU
rnacentral:lncRNA from 1 species